GUCUACGGUCAUACCACCCUGAACGCGCCCGAUCUCAUCUGAUCUCGGAAGCUAAGCAGGGUCGGGCCUGGUUAGUACUUGGAUGGGAGACCGCCUGGGAAUACUGGGUACUGUAGUCU
ensembl:rRNA 5S_rRNA 5S ribosomal RNA